GCAUCUGCCAUGCGUGCAAGAAUGGGAGCCGUGACUGAGAAUCUCCAGGUGAUGGCCUCCGGCAUUCAUGCGGCAGUGAGGGAGGAUGUGCAAGCGAUCCAUGGUGCAGUGAGGGAGGAUGUGCCAGCAAUCCAUGGUGCCAUAAAGGAAGACGUUGUUGCCAUGGUUGGAGCAGGAAUGGGAUCCAUUCGUGCAGCAGUGAGGGAGAUCCAUGGUGCCUUGAAGGAGGACUUUGUUGCUGUGGUUGGAGCACUGAACGUUGCGGCUAUGCGUGCUGCAAUCAAGGAGGACCUCCAGGCACUUCACGACACAGUGAAGGAGGAUGUUAUAGCAGCCCACAACCAAGUCAUGGUCGACUGUUCCACAUCCCUCUAUCAGGGUUUGGAUGGCUUGAUCAGGUCGUGUCCAAAGCGCAAAGUGGCGCUGCUGCUGGUUCAGUGAUUCAUAGAAACGACGAACUGAUCUCUUUUUUCUCAGGAAUUUUUUUUCUGAUUCGGAUCUGCAGAAAUAAAAAGGCUUAUAUGUCGUGAGCUUCUGAUAGUGGAUGAGUGUAACUAUUUAUUCAGGAGGUCCUUUGGAGCUGCGGAUAUUGCAUAUAGUCACUGGGUUCAAAUGCUUUGUAUGGUAACGGAACAUUCAAUCGAAGCUUUCAAGUUUUCUGUCU